GUAUAUAUGGCUUAGUGGUUAAAAGCACUGGAUGUGAUUCCAAAGAACUGGGGUUCGAUUCCUAAUAUAAACA
rnacentral:tRNA from 1 species